AUGGCACCUCCAGCUGCCUACCAGGCCAGGGAAGGUGAGGGUCCCCCACAGCUGCUCUGCCUGAGCCACGGGCCAGGUCCCUGGGGUUUGUGGCUGCGCCACCACUGCCUGAGGGCCGGAGGCCUGGAGCACAGGCAGGGUCCCGGCCCCAUUCGGGACCAGGCCUGGGAGCUGACAGAGCCCCUGGCGGGCAACCAGGACCGCUUCAGCGCUUGGAGCCAGGGCACCCUGGCCACCGUCUCCUCGGAAACGGGACCUCUGCUGGUGGAACAGUCUGGGCCGAGCGGGCUCCGCGGCCGGGGCCGCAAGGACCUGGGGGUGGGGCUUCGAUUGGGACCAGGAGGCUGCCAGGGGCUUGGGUUUUUGUACACCCCCCAACGGGACCCAUGGCAUUGUGACUUAUAUGGCCCCUGGGGCCAGGGAGUCCUGGUCACCGUCUCCUCAGGUGUAGAGGGCCUGGGGCAGCCUGGUGGGCUCGGAAAGAGGGCCAAGGGGGCCCAGGCUCACCCCAGCGAGGAACAGAGGUUCCAGACGCCAUCUCUGGCUGGGCCCUGCAGCCAGGGCUUCCCCUGGGUCUCUCAGUCACCCUCGGGCUCCGGGCUCCCAAGGUCCCCGGCCCGGCCGGCCACAUUGUCACAGUGUGAUGACUUUGACUACUGGGGCCAGGGGGUCCUGGUCACCGUCUCCUCAGCGAACCCGUCCCCUCCGACUCUCUUCCCCCUGGUCUCCUGCGUGAGCCCCCUGCCUGAUGCGAAGCUGGUGGCCCUGGGCUGCCUGGCCCGGGACUUCUUGCCCAACUCCGCCAGCUUCUCCUGGAGCUACAGUAACAGCAGCGGGGUCAGCAGCCAGAACGUCCAGAUCUUCCCGGCCGUCCUGAGGGAGGGCACGUACACGGCCUCCUCCCAGGUGCUCCUGCCGUCCUCAAGCAUCCCCCAGGACCCCGAAGAGCGCCUGCUGUGCAGAGUCAAGCACCCCAACGGCGACAAGUCCAUGUUAGUGCCUCUCCCAGUGCGGCUACCUGCUAAGUCUCCCAACGUGGCCGUCUUCAUUCCCCCCCGAGACGCCUUCUCCAGCUCUCCCCAGCGCAAGUCUAGCCUCAUCUGCCAGGCCACAGACUUCAGCCCCAAGCAGAUCUCCUUGUCCUGGUUUCGUGACGGCAAGCGGGUGGUGUCUGGCAUCAGUGAAGGCCCGGUGGAGACUGUACAGUCCUUGCCCGUGACCUUCAGGACCUACAGCAUGCUGACCAUCACGGAGAGCGAGUGGCUCAGCCAGACCGUGUUCACCUGCGAGGUGGAGCACAACAAGGAGAUCUUCCAGAAGAACGUGUCCUCUGCGUGCACCAAUCCAGUCCAGCCCUCGCACAUGAGGAUCUUCACCAUCGCCCCGUCCUUCGCUGGCAUCUUCCUCACCAAGUCAGCCAAGCUCACCUGCCUGGUCACAGACCUGACCACCUAUGACAGCCUGAGCAUCUCCUGGACCCGCCAGGAUGGCGAGGCCCUGGAGACCCUGACCAACAUCUCCGGGAGCCACGCCAAUGGCACCUUCAGCGCCGUGGGUGAGGCCUCCGUCUGUGUGGAGGACUGGGAGUCUGGAGGCUGGUUCACGUGCACGGUGACCCACACAGAUCUGCCCUCGCCACUGAAGCGCAGCAUCUCCAGGCCCAAAGAGGUCGUCAAGCACAUGCCGUCCGUGUACGUGCUGCCACCGACGCGGGAACAGCUGAGCAUGCGGGAGUCCGCCUCCAUCACCUGCCUGGUGAAGGGCUUCUCACCCGCGGACGUGUUCGUGCAGUGGCUGCAGAAGGGGCAGCCCAUGUCCUCCGACAAGUACGUGACCAGUGCCCCGGCGCCCGAGCCCCAGGCCCCCGGCUUCUACUUCGUGUACAGCAUCCUGACGGUGAGCGAGGAGGACUGGGACGGCGGAGAGACCUACACCUGCGUCGUGGGCCACGAGGCCCUGCCCCACAUGGUGACCGAGAGGACCGUGGACAAGUCCACCGAGGGCGAAGUGAGCGCCGAGGAAGAAGGCUUCGAGAACCUCAACACCAUGGCCUCCACCUUCAUCGUCCUCUUCCUCCUGGGCCUCUUCUACAGCACCACGGUCACCCUGUUCAAGGUGAAGUGACGGCCAGCCAAGGACGUGGGGGACCAGAGACGGAACAAGAGGGGAGCCGCCUGGGGCCAGGGGUUCUGCGUGGCUCGUCCACUUGUACUGAAAUUUUCCCCGUGUCUCUCUCCAGCUUUGAGCUCUAAGAAACCGGCUUCUCCUGACGUGGCCAAAU